UACGGAGGGUGCAAACGUUGCUCGGAAUCAUUGGGCGUAAAGAGCGCGCAGGCGGUCGUGCAAGUCGCGUGUGAAAGCCCCCGGCUCAACUGGGGAGGGUCACGCGAUACUGCUCGACUCGAAGGCAGGAGAGGGAAGUGGAAUUCCCGGUGUAGUGGUGAAAUGCGUAGAUAUCGGGAGGAACACCAGUGGCGAAGGCGACUUCCUGGCCUGUUCUUGACGCUGAGGCGCGAAAGCUAGGGUAGCAAACGGG
rnacentral:rRNA from 1 species